rnacentral:rRNA from 1 species
GAUGAACGCUAGCGGCAGGCCUAAUACAUGCAAGUCGAGGGGCAGCGCGGUAGCAAUACUGGCGGCGACCGGCGCACGGGUGCGUAACACGUAUGCAACCUACCUUCAACUGGAGGAUAGCCCGGGGAAACUCGGAUUAAUACUCCAUAACACAGGGAUCCCGCAUGGGAAUAUUGUUAAAGCUACGGCGGUUGAAGAUGGGCAUGCGUUCGAUUAGCUAGUUGGUGUAGGUAACGGCUCACCAAGGCUACGAUCGAUAGGGGGUCUGAGAGGAUGAUCCCCCACACUGGUACUGAGAUACGGACCAGACUCCUACGGGAGGCAGCAGUAGGGAAUAUUGGUCAAAUGGGGCGCAAAGCCUGAACCAGCCAUGCCGCGUGCAGG